CCGUGCAAGAUCCCGGGCGGCGUAUUCGUAAAGUGUUCAAGUGAGUACUUCUUCGUGAUGCUCCAAGACGCCUACGCCCUCCCCAAAUGUCCAUCACAAAUCUGGGAACAGUAGCAUCCCAAAGAAGGAGAACAACUCCUACUUCUUACCCUCUUACCUCUAUAUAAGCGGACCAGAUGAAGAAUAACUGCAGUUCAGGCCAUUCCAGGCAAAUGCUUUCGGCGCACAAGGAUCACCCAUCCAGUUUUUCUUCAGCAUGUACGUCGUGCGAAUUCCCAUCAUGGCCUUGGCUGUUAAUAUGGAAAAACGGAGAAGGUGUUUCUGAGGUUCUGCUUUACGCUAUCCAGAAACAAAUAAUUCAAAGCUACUGGACAUGCAAAUUUCAGUCCAAACUAGGAUCCUUGACAGUGGAACACAUGGAUCAAAGUGCAAGGUACCGUCUCCAUUGUUCGUCGCA